rnacentral:pre_miRNA from 1 species
GAACUACUCCCUCCGUCCCAAAAUUCUUGUCUUAAAUUUGUCUAAAUACGGAUGUAUCUAGUUACGUUUUAGUAUUAGAUACAUCCGUAUCUAGAUAAAUCUAAGACAAGAAUUUUGGGACGGAGGGAGUACUAU